rnacentral:rRNA from 1 species
UACGUAGGGGGCGAGCGUUGUCCGGAUUCAUUGGGCGUAAAGCGCUUUAAGGCGGUUCGCUAAGUCGCGUGUGAAACCUCCAGGCUCAACCUGGAGACGCCACGCGAUACUGGCGUGACUAGAGUUCGGUAGGGGAUCACGGAAUUCCUGGUGUAGCGGUGAAAUGCGCAGAUAUCAGGAGGAACACCAAUUGCGAAGGCAGCUCGCUGGGACGUUACUGACGCUGAGACGCGAAAGCGUGGGGAGCAAACAGG